AAUUCAUGAUGAAAGUGAGUCCACACUUUAACAUCUAGUAUGUAGUUAGGACAUAAAAUUUGUAUAUGAUAAUAGAAGCUCAUGCAACUUUUGGUCUACAUUCUUUCCUUUCAUUUAAAAGAAAUGGUGACAUUGGUCAACAUAAGAUUUGAAAGUGUUUAAUACAGACAUGAAAUAAAAAGUUUAUAGUUUAUGAAUUUUGUGGAGACACAUUCAGAUUAAACUGAGUAAAACUGAUCCCAAACUGCCAAGUUUAGAUUAUGAAAUCUUCAUAUAUACAAACCAAUUUUUGGUCCUCAUACAACUUAAGAAGUUUAGAGACAUUUGAAAGCACUUAGAAUUGCAAAUAAUUUACUCCCAAGUUUUUGUUUUCUCCCAGCAUUACUAUAACUAAUAAUGUAAUUCCAAUGGUGCAAUUGCCAUCAGUAGUUUAUACCUCAGGUAUAUAUUAAAUAUGUCAACUCUGGGCAAGUUAAUUUAUCUCCUUGGGCCUUCAUCACACCUAGUUAUUUAUUUAAUAUUAUUUAUUUAAUAAAGGGGUUAUGAGGAUAAAAGGAUUACAAUUACAAGCUAUGGUAAUUAAUACUAGUGUAAGGUACACUAGUAUACUCUUUCAUUUGCCGAAUCUCAAUUUGAUUACUAUUGGUUAUUCAUGUUAGUUAUUCAGUUUGACCAACUGUACUGGUCAUCAUCUUGUCAAUGUGACCAAAAUACCCAAUAUAAAUAACUUAAAGAAGGAACAAUUUAUUCUGGAUCACAGUUUUAGAAGUUUCAGUCCAAGGUAAGUUGGUUCCCUUGCUUUAAGCCUGAACCAAGGCAUAUUAUCAUAGUGGAAAAGCAUGGCACAAGAAAACUGCUCACCUGAAGGCAGAUGGGAAGUUGAGAGAGAGAGCAAAAGGGACCAAAGAAAAGAAAUACCCUUCUAGAACAUGUCCCCAGUGACCUAAUUUCUCCAAUCAGCCUUACCUUGUAGAUUUUCUACUACCUCCCCAAAAUGUCAUCAAGUUAUUUAUCCAUCUGUGGAAUUAAUGCACUGAUGAGAGCAGAUCCCUCAUGAUCUAAGCAUUUCCUGAAAGUCUCACCUCUGAAUAUCCCAGCAUUGGGGACUGAGACUUCAACUUGAGCCUUUGAGGAACAUUUCAGAUCCAAACCAUAAUAUCAACAAGAGUAAGGACAACGUCUUUUAAAGGAAACCCCAAUUUUGAUAGAAAAAGUAAGAAAGACUCCAAAGUUCAUUUUUAGGUCUUGUUAAUUAUGCUAAUUACAUUCACAGAUAUAAGAAUGAGAUAGUUUUACUGAGGAGAGUUUUUUUUUUUUUAAUAAAAAAAUUCACUGCAGAUACAAUAAAUGUGGCAGCACUAAUUUCUGGCUCCUUAGAGCCAUAUAGGUUAUCAUGGGAGCUGGUUUAUAGAGCAGAGUUAGUAGAGUUGUUAAAGAUAGAAGACAACCAAAGCAGAAAUUGAUAGCCCACUUUUUCUCUUUCACAAUUGAGUUUAAUAUUAUCCAAAUUCAUAAGAUGCUUGCUUGAUAUAAAAUCCUUCAAAGUUACUGAAGAUAAAUAAUGCAUAAUUGAAGCACAUAUUGAAAGGAUUGAAUUCACAAAAGAUUUAACUAUUAUCUGAGAACUGGGAUUAGAAUGGAGAUUUUUGUGUCCAGUCUUCUUAUUAUAAUCAUGAGAACCCUGCAUUUCCCAGACUAGAAUUGCCACAGGUCAUACACCUGGUCUCAGGUAGAGAUGGCAAGAUCCAUGUUAUCAAACUACAAGUAAAGAUUUCCUUUAAGGGCCCUACUCAAGGAAAGUACUGUAAACACAGAAAAAACUUCAUAUUCAGUUAUUUAUGAUUCACAUAAUUAUAGUUUAAGUCUGCCCUGAAUUAUAAAAAUCUUGUUGACUACUCAAAAGGUAUAGCUUUUAAAGCACAGUCUGAAUAUUUUUAAAAAAAGAAAGAAAGAAAAAACAACCCAGAAAAUUUAGUUUGGCCAUAAACAGAAGAUGAAGUUUCUUUCUGUAAGUUUGAGUAUUAUUUCAUUUCAGCCAUUUCUAACAUUAAUAAUGCAGUUACCAUGGAGAUAAAAUGAAUUAAGGCACCUAAAAUUCUAGGGCUCCAUCAGUUAAAUUCUAUCUUUUGCCUAUUAAGUGUACAGUUUGAUAUUCAACUUAGAUUUUAUUCUCUAUAAUUGAAAUAACCAUUG
rnacentral:lncRNA from 1 species